rnacentral:precursor_RNA from 13 species
CCAUAUUCAACCACUGAGUGUGCAGUGCUUUUCACAAGAAAGUGUCAUUCAUGUGUACUGAAAUAUGAGUGGCAUUUUCUUGCGAAGAGCAAUGUACAGCAUAUCAUGCUUAUGUGGU